rnacentral:rRNA from 1 species
GGAUUCCCCUAGUAACUGCGAGUGAAGCGGGAAAAGCUCAAAUUUAAAAUCUGGCAGUCUUUGGCUGUCCGAGUUGUAAUCUAGAGAAGUAUUAUCCGCGCUGGACCGUGUACAAGUCUCCUGGAAUGGAGCGUCAUAGAGGGUGAGAAUCCCGUCUUUGACACGGACUGCCAGGGCUUUGUGAUAUGCUCUCAAAGAGUCGAGUUGUUUGGGAAUGCAGCUCAAAAUGGGUGGUAAAUUCCAUCUAAAGCUAAAUAUUGGCGAGAGACCGAUAGCGAACAAGUACCGUGAGGGAAAGAUGAAAAGAACUUUGGAAAGAGAGUUAAACAGUACGUGAAAUUGCUGAAAGGGAAACGCUUGAAGUCAGUCGCGUUGGCCAGGGAUCAACCUUGCUUUUUUGCUUGGCUUACUUUCUGGUUGAUGGGUCAGCAUCAAUUUUGACUGGUGGAAAAAGUUCAAGGGAAUGUGGCAUCUUCGGAUGUGUUAUAGCCUUUGUUCACAUACAUUGGUUGGGAUUGAGGAACUCAGCACGCCGCAAGGCCGGGUUUUUAACCACGUACGUGCUUAGGAUGCUGGCAUAAUGGCUUUAAUCGACCCGUCUUGAAACACGGACCAAGGAGUCUAACAUGCCUGCGAGUAUUUGGGUGAAAAACCCAAGUGCGUAAUGAAAGUGAAAGUUGAGAUCCCUGUCGUGGGGAGCAUUGACGCCCGGAUCUGACCUUUUGUGACGAUUCUGCGGUAGAGCAUGUAUGUUGGGACCCGAAAGAUGGUGAACUAUGCCUGAAUAGGGUGAAGCCAGAGGAAACUCUGGUGGAGGCUCGUAGCGAUUCUGACGUGCAAAUCGAUCGUCAAAUUUGGGUAUAGGGGCGAAAGACUAAUCGAACCAUCUAGUAGCUGGUC